rnacentral:lncRNA from 1 species
UAUGUAUCAUGACUACUUUUAGAUCACUACUGAUUACAUCUAAUGUAACAUACUUUUUAGAUUUUAAAAUAAUUUUUAUAUCUGAAUCUAUCUUAUUGUAAUGAGUCAUAAAUUACUUUAGAUUUAAUCUAAACUUAUUUAUGAUCAAAAUAAUUCAUAAAAAUUUAUUUCGCUCUUCUUCUUUAUGAAAUCAGAUCACAAUAACACCCC